rnacentral:rRNA from 1 species
CUACGGGCUGCUCCAGUGAGGAAUAUUGCACAAUGGAGGAAACUCUGAUGCAGCAACGCCGCGUGGAGGAUGACGCAUUUCGGUGUGUAAACUCCUUUUAUAUGUCAAGAAAAUGACGGUAGCAUAUGAAUAAGCACCGGCUAACUCCGUGCCAGCAGCCGCGGUAAUACGGAGGGUGCAAGCGUUACUCGGAAUCACUGGGCGUAAAGGACGCGUAGGCGGGAUAUCAAGUCAGGUGUGAAAUCCUAUAGCUUAACUGUAGAACUGCACUUGAAACUGGUAACCUAGAGUAUGGGAGGGGGAGAUGGAAUUAGUGGUGUAGGGGUAAAAUCCGUAGAUAUCACUAGGAAUACCUAAAGCGAAGGCGAUCUCCUGGAACAUUACUGACGCUAAGGCGUGAAAGCGUGGGGAGCAAACAGGAUUAGAUACCCUCGUAGUC